UUUGUGUCUAGAAGGAAGAUUGUAACAGAUUAAGAUGUACGAAUUCCUUCUCACCUAUUGAGAGAAACGGGGUCUAUUUCUUUUCCUUUUGAAUCUAUAUGGGUUUUGUGAUUUCACCAAUGAAUAGAAUACCUCUGCCAGUUUUUGGGCCUAGGACUUAAGAAACUGGCAGCUUCUACUUCCUGUUUUUUAACGCAUCCACUCUUGGAACCCAAAUGACAAUCUGCGAAGAAGACUAAGGGGCCCCACGGAGAGGCCCACAUGGAGAAAACUCAAUCCCCCCUCACCCGCUAUCCCAGGCUGUCAGCCAGCACCACCUUGUCUUGCCAGCCAUGUGAGUGAGCCAUGUUGGAAGUGAAUCCUCCAGGCCCGGUGUAGUGCUUUGCUAAUGACUGACCGGUGUGGAUGUAUAAAAGUCCAGCUCCGUGAUCUCAGACUUCCGGCCUCCAGAACUGCCCUGACAUUGUAUAAGCUUCAGGCCCCACAAAACCUGGAUCUGCCCUGCCAGGAUCAGCAUCUAGAGGAAAACUACUACUUCCACAAUAGCACAACCAAUCUGAUCAUCCCUGCAUCAGUGAGCAUUCUCCAGAGAAACAGAGCCAACAGGAUAUGUGUAUAUAUGUGAAGAAAGACUUAUUUUAAGGAGUUGGCUCAUGCAAUUAUGGAGGUGCAAGUCCAAAAUCUGUAGGGCAGGCAGAUGGGCAGACUGGAGACCCAGAGAAGAGUUGCAGUUCAAGUCCAAAGUCGGUUGGAAGAAUUCCCUCUUGCUGGGUAACACUGGGGAAGCAGGAGUAGAUGGAAAGGGGAGGUGUCAGGCUUUGCUCUACCAAGGACUUCAACUGAUUGGAUGAGGCCCAGUAACAUUAUGGAGGGAAACCUGCUUUGCUCAGAGUUUACUGAUUUAAAUAUUAAUCUCAUCCACAAAAAAAUAAAUAACCUUCACAGAAACAUUUAGAAUAUUUGACCAAAUAUCUAAGUCCCAUGGCUCAGACAACUUAACACAUAAAAUUAUCCAUCACAAUUCCAUUAUCCCAAUACAGGUCGGCAGGGCCUUGGGCAGGUGGUAACCUCAGCUCUGGAGUCUACAGCAAUACUCUCACACUUAACAGAUGUAGUUCUGUGGGUCCAGGUCCCACUUCGCAAGAGAGAAUCUGAUGGGCUAAUUUCGACCAAGUCUCCUUUCCUAGUUCAAUCACGUGUAAGGGUUAGAGAAAGGGUUGGGCUCACAAGGGACUUAGGGCUGCCUCUCUGGACUUGGGAGAGCAGGACUUCUCAAGAGAUAAAUGGUUAGAGAGUAAUAUAAUUUGGAUAUUUGUCCCCUAUAAAUCUCAUGUUGAAAUUUGAUGUUCAAUGUUGAGGGCAGGUCUGGGACCUCCCUCCCUGCUUUUGCUCCCCCUCUCGCCAUAUGGCACAACUGCUCCCUUCACCUUCUGCUAUGAAUGGAAGCUUCCUGAGGCCUUCACCAAAAGCGGAGGCUGGUACCAUGCUUCACGCACAGCCUGCAGAAUCAUGAGCCAAAUAAACUACUUUUCUUUAUAAAUCAUCCAGUUUCAGGUAUUCGCUUAUAGCAACACAAAAUGGACUAAUACAGAGAGGAAAUAUUUUGAGCACAUUGAAGGCCCCAAAAUAUUGAGCUUUUUUUUUUUAACCUAUAUAGUACUUUUCUUGCAUCUCAGUUUGCUUAUCUAUAGAAUGAGGAUUAAUAAGACCUACCAACUUCAGGGGGUCAUUCUGGUGAGAUAAGUGAAAAAAUUUGUAAAGAAGUGUAUAAAUUUACCAUUGUUUUUUAAAACUAAAAUGAUCUCUAACACUAAGUUGAUGAUCUGAUCACAAAGAUGGGGUAGAUGAAAUGAAGAGAAAAGGUUUCUGACAUUUGUAUACUUAGAAAUGUAUCCAGGCUGGGCAUGGUGGUCCAUACCUGUAAUCCCAGCACUUUGAGAGGCCAACGCAGGAGGGUCACUUGAGGCCACGAGUUCAAAACCAGCCUGGCCACAUUGAGAGGUGACAGUGUGUUGGCAGUCCUCACAGC
rnacentral:lncRNA from 1 species